rnacentral:lncRNA from 1 species
UACACUCUGGCAAAGUACUACGCGAGCGGCAUCUCAGAUUGUCUAUCGAAGGAUCUUGACUCUCUGACCGGGGGCGGAGAAGAUUGUUUCGAAUUUUUUUUUUUUUUUUCUGGGAGCUUUGUUGUGAUUCUAUAGAAUCUUUUUGCUGAUCGUCGAUAGAGUUUUGAAAAUUUGAAAGUACUCCACCAUCCACAUAAGACUACAUAACACAUGAGAGUCGUGUGCCAGACCCGUUCUAGUCUUGCAGGGGAAACAGCACAGAGCACGGUCUGUCUUGAAGUUAAUUCGUUUCGGAUUCUGUAAUAAAAGCAGCUUUGGUCGAGAGGUUCCGGUGUUUUGGUGUUCUAUUUCGGGAUCCCUACAUAUUGUGUUAAUGUUGCUUCCCGAUCUUGUUAUUUUUUCUGGUACUCUUGGUCUGUUUGGGAUUACGUACGAGGUGGUGUGGAUUGGUUAGGUACCGAGGCUUUAGCCAAGCUAUUAGGCAAGAAGCGGUUUCAGUGAGUCAGGAACUAUGUGCGUUUGACCUCUUUAAUCUUGAAUACCUGUCCAAAGACAUCAGGAUCAACCUCGCUGCCCUUCAUAUCUUAAAGUGAUGUCAUAUUGUCUUUGCGUGUUAGGAAUGUGCAUAUGUGCCUCAGUAAAUCAAGAGCGAAGUGGAACAUUGAAGCUAGCACCCGUCUGCAAUGAUACGUAUAAUACGUACUAAAAUCUGAGCACUUCAAAAGGCGACGAGUUAAUAAAAUCGAAUUGACUAAGUGUCCAUGAAGUUAUUUCCGUAGGUCGUUAAAGUCGAGCAAGAAAUGGAGGAAUAGAUAAACAUAAACAGGGACUCUGAGUCUGUGUUGGGGGAUCACAGUGCGAUUAAGUGAACUUUUGAUAUAAAUCGUUUGGGAAAGUUCCGCGCCUUCCGCAAGCCCAACAUUCUAAUGGAAAGCAGAAUACAUAGUGCUAGAAAUAGCCCUCAAUGAACACAAGAUACUUUGCAGAUUCAAUGCUAAUUGUACUGUUGGAGGAGCUUAACUGGUUGGAUUAGCAUUGGAUGAUCUGCGUAUGGGUUUUCUUCCGCCCAAGUGUGCCCGAACAUCGUCUAUGCCUUCCAUGCAGAUUGUAUUCGAGAAAGCGGUUAGGAAGCGACGAGGAGCUAAUACGACACCAACAAUAAUUUAAGACCUAACGACGGCCGCUGAAAAUAAAACUAGCAACAACAACAACAACAAAACCAACAACAACGACUAGCCCACGAUCGUGAGACUAUCACCAUGAAUCGACGUUCCACGAUCAACCCAAUCGAGUUUUAUAAAAAGACGUCGGCCGAUCGCUAGCACGCCUUUAAGAUACCCAACACAGUGAACUUCAUAGGGGAAGAAGAUUUUCUAAUUAAAUUCAAUGUGCAUCCCACUUCCGAUUUGAAAUUAAAAAAAAAACAAUCUAAAGAAAAACACACACACACACAUAAGAAGAAAGAAGUCAAGCCGAAGGAGGCAAAGCAAGAAAUCCGUCUUUGCUGCGAGUGUAAUUUCAAAUUCAGAAGCUCUUCGGCCGCUUAACGUCCAUAUUAAAUCGCAUUUUACACUACUCCUAGUGCCUACGUACUCUAAGUAUCUUAGAUCCAACAGUUGCAAUUCUAGUUUAUCGAAAACUUUAAGUUAGUGCGAUUUGCGACGACGAAAACGGUGGCGUGCAAUUGUCUUAGGAAUAAAACUUAAAAAAAAAAAAUUAACAAAACCCUAAAAAU